UACAGAGGGGGCAAGCGUUGUUCGGAAUUACUGGGCGUAAAGGGCGCGUAGGCGGCCUGUUAAGUCGAACGUAAAAUCCCCGGGCUCAACCCGGGAACUGCGUCCGAUACUGGCAGGCUUGAAUCCGGGAGAGGGAUGCGGAAUUCCAGGUGUAGCGGUGAAAUGCGUAGAUAUCUGGAGGAACACCGGUGGCGAAGGCGGCAUCCUGGACCGAUAUUGACGCUGAUGCGCGAAAGCCAGGGGAGCAAACGGG
rnacentral:rRNA from 1 species